GUUGAUUCUGCCGGAGGCCACUGCUAUCGGAGUUCGAUUAAGCCAUGCGAAUCGAGAGGUGCAAGACCUCGGCAUACUGCUCAGUAACACGUGGACAACCUAACCUACAGAGGGGGAUAACCCCGGGAAACUGGGGAUAAUACCCCAUAGACUAUGGAUGCUGGAAUGCUUCGUAGUUGAAAGGUCCGCCGCUGUAGGAUGGGUCUGCGGCCGAUUAGGUUGUUGUUGGGGUAACGGCCCAACAAGCCUGUAAUCGGUACGGGUUGUGGGAGCGAGAGCCCGGAGAUGGAUUCUGAGACACGAAUCCAGGCCCUACGGGGCGCAGCAGGCGCGAAAACUUUGCAAUGCGGGAAACCGUGACAAGGGAACUCUGAGUGCCCGUUAAAUCGGGCUGUCCAUCGGUUUAAAUAACCGGUGAAGAAAGGGCCGGGCAAGACCGGUGCCAGCCGCCGCGGUAAUACCGGCGGCUCGAGUGGUGGCCACUAUUACUGGGCUUAAAGCGUUCGUAGCUGGUCUGUUAAGUCUCUGGGGAAAUCUACUGGCUUAACCAAUAGGCGUUUCAGGGAUACUGGCAGACUAGGGACCGGGAGAGGUGAGAGGUACUCCAGGGGUAGGAGUGAAAUCCUGUAAUCCUUGGGGGACCACCUGUGGCGAAGGCGUCUCACCAGAACGGCUCCGACAGUGAGGGACGAAAGCUGGGGGAGCAAACCGGAUUAGAUACCCGGGUAGUCCCAGCCGUAAACGAUGCGCGUUAGGUGUAUCGGUGACCACGAGUCACCGACGUGCCGAAGAGAAAUCGUGAAACGUGCCGCCUGGGAAGUACGGUCGCAAGGCUGAAACUUAAAGGAAUUGGCGGGGGAGCACCACAAC
rnacentral:rRNA from 1 species